rnacentral:rRNA from 1 species
UACGUAGGGUGCAAGCGUUGUCCGGAUUUAUUGGGCGUAAAGAGCUCGUAGGCGGCUUGUCGCGUCGAAUGUGAAAACUCGGGGCUCAACUCCGAGCUUGCAUUCGAUACGGGCAGGCUAGAGUUCGGUAGGGGAGACUGGAAUUCCUGGUGUAGCGGUGAAAUGCGCAGAUAUCAGGAGGAGCACCGAUGGCGAAGGCAGGUCUCUGGGCCGAUACUGACGCUGAGGAGCGAAAGCGUGGGGAGCGAACAGG